rnacentral:tRNA from 1 species
UUAAGUUAAACCAAAACUUAGGUUUCUUAUUGUUAAUAAGAAUUUUGAAUAAAAUAUUCCAAUUAAA